GUGCUUGCUUUGGCAGGACAUAUACUAAAAUUGGAAUGAUACAGAGAAGAUUAGCAUGGCCCCUGCACAAGGAUGACACGCAAAGUCAUGAAGCAUUCCAUAUUUAA
ensembl:snRNA U6 U6 spliceosomal RNA